rnacentral:rRNA from 1 species
AGUGAACGCUGGCGGUAGGCCUAACACAUGCAAGUCGAACGGCAGCACAGUAAGAGCUUGCUCUUACGGGUGGCGAGUGGCGGACGGGUGAGGAAUACAUCGGAAUCUACUUUAUCGUGGUGGUUAACGUAGGGAAACUUACGCUAAUACCGCAUACGACCUACGGGUGAAAGCAGCGGAUCUUCGGACCUUGGGCGAUUGAAUGAGCCGAUGUCGGAUUAGCUAGUUGGUGGGGUAAAGGCCCACCAAGGCGGCGAUCCGCAGGUGGACUGAGAGGAUGACCGGCCACACGGGAGCGGGGACACGCACCCAGAUCGUAAGUGAGGCAGCGGUGGGGAAUAUACGGCAAUGGGCGGAAACCUGACCCAGCCAAAGCGCGUGAGUGAAGAAGGCCUUCGCGUUGUAAAGCACGUUUGUUGGGAAAGAAAAGAAGCAGGUUAAUACCGCGAUGUUCUGACUGUACCCAAAGAAUAAGCACCGGCUAACUUCGUG